rnacentral:rRNA from 1 species
UCGGGCAGGGGGUGCCGCCUGCGGACCCCCCUCCCGGCCCUGCCCUCACGGGCGGAGCGCCCGCCGGAGGAUACCAAACUCUAUUUUAACGACGUUUCUUCUGAGUGGCACAAGCAAAUAAUUAAAACUUUCAACAACGGAUCUCUUGGUUCUGGCAUCGAUGAAGAACGCAGCGAAAUGCGAUAAGUAAUGUGAAUUGCAGAAUUCAGUGAAUCAUCGAAUCUUUGAACGCACAUUGCGCCCGCCAGCAUUCUGGCGGGCAUGCCUGUUCGAGCGUCAUUUCAACCCUCAAGCUCUGCUUGGUGUUGGGGCCCUACGGUUGACGUAGGCCCUUAAAGGUAGUGGCGGACCCUCUCGGAGCCUCCUUUGCGUAGUAACUAACGUCUCGCACUGGGAUUCGGAGGGACUCUUGCCGUAAAACCCCCAAAUUUUUAAAGGUUGACCUCGGAUCAGGUAGGAAUACCCGCUGAACUUAAGCAUAUCAAUAAGCGGAGGA